GACGAACGCUGGCGGCGUGCUUAACACAUGCAAGUCGAACGGUGACGGAGAGCUUGCUCUCCUGAUCAGUGGCGAACGGGUGAGUAACACGUGGGCAACCUGCCCCUGACUUCGGGAUAACGCUUCGAAAGAGGUGCUAAUACCGGAUAUGAACUCUUCAGGCAUCUGCGGAGUUGGAAAGUUUUUCGGUCAGGGAUGGGCCCGCGGCCUAUCAGCUUGUUGGUGAGGUAAUGGCUCACCAAGGCGACGACGGGUAGCCGGCCUGAGAGGGCGACCGGCCACACUGGGACUGAGACACGGCCCAGACUCCUACGGGAGGCAGCAGUGGGGAAUAUUGCGCAAUGGGCGAAAGCCUGACGCAGCAACGCCGCGUGGGGGAUGAAGGCCUUCGGGUUGUAAACCCCUUUCAGCAGGGAAGAAGCGAAAGUGACGGUACCUGCAGAAGAAGCACCGGCUAACUACGUGCCAGCCGCCGCGGUAAUAC
rnacentral:rRNA from 1 species